rnacentral:rRNA from 1 species
UACGAAGGGGGCUAGCGUUGCUCGGAAUCACUGGGCGUAAAGGGUGCGUAGGCGGGUUCUUAAGUCAGAGGUGAAAUCCUGGAGCUCAACUCCAGAACUGCCUUUGAUACUGAGAGUCUUGAGUAUGACAGAGGUGAGUGGAACUGCGAAGUGUAGAGGUGAAAUCGUAGAUAUUCGCAAGAACACCAGUGGCGAAGGCGGCUCACUGGGUCAUUACUGACGCUGAGGCACGAAAGCGUGGGGAGCAAAACAGGG